CUCUCCCACCCUCCUUCGUUGCAGCUGCCCAGUUGACUUCUUGAUGCUGAGCAGCAAGGAAAAAGAAAAUUCUGCAAGGGGCCCAGCCAGCCAGUUCAGUGCACUUGGGCAGUCCACACACAUUUAUGAUGCCACAUAGAUGCCGGUGAAAAAGACAACAAUCAUGCAAGGGUCUUACCUCGUUUUUCAUCAGCUUAACUUCCCUUUCCCCCGACAUAAGGAUUAAGGAUAAACAAAAUAUAUGCAGAAAAGCAGCCUGUUCAGAGCAAGCACGGGUACCUUUGCAGAGGCGUGAGGUGAGGCUCCCUGGUCCAAGAGAAGCAGUGCC